UUGGGCGUAAGGGCUCGUAGGUGGUUGAUCGCGUCGGAAGUGUAAUCUUGGGGCUUAACCCUGAGCGUGCUUUCGAUACGGGUUGACUUGAGGAAGGUAGGGGAGAAUGGAAUUCCUGGUGGAGCGGUGGAAUGCGCAGAUAUCAGGAGGAACACCAGUGGCGAAGGCGGUUCUCUGGGCCUUUCCUGACGCUGAGGAGCGAAAGCGUGGGGAGCGAACAGGCUUAGAUACCCUGGUAGUCCACGCUGUAAACGGUGGGUACUAGGUGUGGGGUCCAUUCCACGGGUUCCGUGCCGUAGCUAACGCUUUAAGUACCCCGCCUGGGGAGUACGGCCGCAAGGCUAAAACUCAAAGGAAUUGACGGGGCCCCGCACAAGCGGCGGAGCAUGCGGAUUAAUUCGAUGCAACGCGUAGAACCUUACCUGGGUUUGACAUGGAUCGGGAGUGCUCAGAGAUGGGUGUGCCUCUUUUGGGGUCGGUUCACAGGUGGUGCAUGGCUGUCGUCAGCUCGUGUCGUGAGAUGUUGGGUUAAGUCCCGCAACGAGCGCAACCCUUGUUCACUGUUGCCAGCACGUUAUGGUGG
rnacentral:rRNA from 1 species